rnacentral:rRNA from 1 species
UACGAAGGGUGCAAGCGUUACUCGGAAUUACUGGGCGUAAAGCGUGCGUAGGCGGUUUUCUAAGUCUGCCGUGAAAGCCCCGGGCUCAACCUGGGAAUGGCGGUGGAUACUGGAAAGCUGGAGUGCGGUAGAGGAGGGUGGAAUUCCCGGUGUAGCGGUGAAAUGCGUAGAGAUCGGGAGGAACAUCAGUGGCGAAGGCGGCCCUCUGGACCAGCACUGACGCUGAGGCACGAAAGCGUGGGGAGCAAACAGG